UACAGAGGUGGCAAGCGUUGUUCGGAAUCACUGGGCUUAAAGGGCGCGCAGGCGGUCGGAAAGGUGUCCUGUGAAAUCCCUCGGCUUAACCGAGGAACUGCGGGACAAACCGUUCGACUUGAGGCAGGUAGGGGCCGAUGGAACUCUGGGUGGAGCGGUGAAAUGCGUAGAUAUCCAGGGGAACGCCAAUGGUGAAAACAGUCGGCUGGGCCUGUCCUGACGCUGAGGCGCGAAAGCCAGGGGAGCAAAC
rnacentral:rRNA from 1 species